CCUACGGGAGACAGCAGUGAGGAAUAUUGGUCAAUGGACGAGAGUCUGAACCAGCCAAGUAGCGUGAAGGAUGACUGCCCUAUGGGUUGUAAACUUCUUUUAUAUGGGAAUAAAAUGUUCCACGUGUGGGAUUUUGUAUGUACCAUAUGAAUAAGUAUCGGCUAACUCCGUGCCAGCAGCCGCGGUAAUACGGAGGAUCCGAGCGUUAUCCGGAUUUAUUGGGUUUAAAGGGAGCGUAGGUGGAUUGUUAAGUCAGUUGUGAAAGUUUGCGGCUCAACCGUAAAAUUGCAGUUGAAACUGGCAGUCUUGAGUACAGUAGAGGUGGGCGGAAUUCGUGGUGUAGCGGUGAAAUGCUUAGAUAUCACGAAGAACUCCGAUUGCGAAGGCAGUUCACUGGACUGCAACUGACACUGAGGCUCGAAAGUGUGGGUAUCAAACAGGAUUAGAUACCCGAGUAGUC
rnacentral:rRNA from 1 species